rnacentral:rRNA from 1 species
CGCAGCGACGCCGCGUGUGGGAUGAAGGCCUUUCGGGUUGUAAACUUCUGUCAGGUGGGACGAAACUCGCAGCGGUGGUGAAUAGGGCGUGCGUUUCUUGACGGUACCGCCGGAGGAAGCGCCGGCUAACUCCGUGCCAGCAGCCGCGGUAAUACGGAGGGGGCGAGCGUUGUUCGGAAUUAUUGGGCGUAAAGGGCGUGUAGGUGGCUCUGUUAAGUCUUUUGUGAAAUCUCCUGGGCUCAACUGCGGAACAUGCCUUUGAGAUACUGUCUGGACUAGAGGCCAGGUAGAGGGUAGUGGAAUUCCUGGUGUAGCGGUGGAAUGUGUAGAUAUUGGGAGGAACACCAGUGGCGAAGGCGGCUAGCUGGGCUGUGUACUGACGCUGAUGCGCGAAAGCGUGGGGAGCAAACAGGAUUAGAUACCCUGGUAGUCCACGCUGUAAACGAUGGGCACUCGGUGCUGCGGGUCCAUCGACGGGUUCGGUGCCUUAGCUAACGCGUUAAGUGCCCCGCC